CCUACGGGGUGCAGCAGUGGGGCAUAUUGGGCAAUGGAGGCAACUCUUACCCAGCAAUGCCGCGUGAAUGAAGAAGGUCUUCGGAUUGUAACGUUCUUUAAUUUGGGACGAGAAAAAUGACAGUACCCCAAGAAUAAGCCCCGGCUAACUACGUGCCAGCAGCCGCGGUAAUACGUAGGGGGCGAGCGUUGUUCGGAAUGACUGGGCGUAAAGGGUGUGUAAGCCGUGGAACAAUGUAGGAGUGAAAUCCCGAGAGCUUAACCCAUGUGCUGCUUCUAAAACUGCUAUACUUGAGUGCAGUAGAGGAAAGUGGAAUUCCGAGUGUAGCGGUGGAAUGCGGAGAUAUUAGGAGGAACACCAGUGGCGAAGGCGACUUUCUGGACUGUAACUGACGCUGAGGCACGAAAGUGUGGGGAGCAAACAGGAUUAGAUACCCUGGUAGUC
rnacentral:rRNA from 1 species